rnacentral:rRNA from 1 species
AACGAACGCUGGCGGCGCGCCUAAUACAUGCAAGUCGAGCGAGAAGACGUAGCAAUACGUUUGUAAAGCGGCGAACGGGUGAGGAAUACAUGGGUAACCUACCCUCGAGUGGGGAAUAACUAGCCGAAAGGUUAGCUAAUACCGCGUACGCUCCUUGGACUUCGGUUCAGGGAGGAAAGCGAUACCGUGGGUAUCGCGCUCUUGGAUGGGCUCAUGUCCUAUCAGCUUGUUGGUGAGGAACGGCUCACCAAGGCUUCGACGGGUAGCUGGUCUGAGAGGACGAUCAGCCACACUGGCACUGCGACACGGGCCAGACUCCUACGGGAGGCAGCAGUAAGGAUAUUGCGCAAUGGGCGAAAGCCUGACGCAGCGACGCCGCGUGGGGGAUGAAGGUCUUCGGAUUGU